AUUUUGAGUGGGGGACUUUGGCAAAGUUAGAUGGACAUUUCUCCCUUCAUUUCUCCAUGAAGGGAGAAAGGAGGUAUUGUGUGCCUUCUACACCAGGACCUGUCCCUAAGGAGACAUCAUACCACAAUGGAUACUUUCUGCCUUCACGGAGCCUUCAGCCUAGUGAGCCGGCUAGCAUUCGUCAAGUGCCUUCUUUCUGCUAAGCACUUUCACACUCCCUUGGACUACGUUUCCCAGAAAAAGACACUGAGACAGGGAUUCAAGGGCACGUAUGUAGUUGGGAGGUGAUCCCAGGACCCACCAGCAGUGGGGUGAGGAGGUGAGACCAGGAAUUGAGGGAAGAGAAGGCUGAAGGAAUGAGCCAGAUGUCUUUGUGAGUAACCGGGAGGCUUCAGUCCUGCUGGGGGCUCUGGAAGGCUGCGUAGCAUCCACCUGCAUGGUACUGGAUCUGUGUGCUUGGGCCCCUGCCUGGGUUGGUGGGGAUGCUAACCCCUUGGCUGCAUGGCCCACACGGUGCCAUGCUCCUGUGACCAGAAAAAAACCUUGGGCAGAGAUCUGCAGAUUCUUGUGGGGGGUGGGAGGUGCGCCUCAGGUGUUCAGGAACAUGAGCAUGGAGAGGACAGAACGGCUUCACCACCCGUGUCUGCAUCGGGGGACUCGCCCUGUCGAAUCCUCACAACCUGGGAGGCAUCAUCUGCCAGAGGAGACGCGGAACUCACCUUAAUCACACUGCAUAGCUCGUGUCUUCACCACCAGUGAGUGUUGCCUCCUGGAACAUCUGCUCGGAGGCUUCAGUGUGCAGGGCACUCAGCAGACCCCCAGGGCUCAAAGAAAGGUCUCCAAAACCCACGUCUCAUCUACAUCUGUGCUGACCCCCAGACAAUUCACCUGCCGCUGUCUGGGGCUCAGAAUUCAUAGUUCAUCUCCUCUCUCCAGUCCCCCCACCUCCCUCGAGUCCAUUCGUGCCACAACCGAAGGACUCUUCCUAAAUAAAAGUGAGCCA